GCAGGGCCAGCAGCAAGGGGAGGUAGACUUUCUCCAGCAGGGCCAGCAGCAGGGGGAGGUAGACUCUCUCCAGCAGGGCCAGCAGCAGGGGGAGGUAGACUCUCUCCGGCAGGGCCAGCAGCAGGGGGAGGUAGACUCUCUCCGGCAGGGCCAGCAGCAGGGGGAGGUAGACUCUCUCCGGCAGGGCCAGCAGCAGGGGGAGGUAGACUCUCUCCAGCAGGGCCAGCAGCAGGGGGAGGUAGACUCUCUCCAGCAGGGCCAGCAGCAGGGGGAGGUAGACUCUCUCCAGCAGGGCCAGCGGCAGGGGGAGGUAGACUCUCUCCAGCAGGGCCAGCAGCAGGGG